rnacentral:rRNA from 1 species
GACGAACGCUGGCGGCGUGCCUAAUACAUGCAAGUCGAACGAGAGCGACCGGUGCUUGCACUGGUCAAUCUAGUGGCGAACGGGUGAGUAACACGUGGGUAACCUGCCCAUCAGAGGGGGAUAACAUUCGGAAACGGAUGCUAAAACCGCAUAGGUCCUUUAACCGCAUGGUUGAAGGAGGAAAAGAGGCGCAAGCUUCUGCUGAUGGAUGGACCCGCGGUGCAUUAGCUAGUUGGUGAGGUAACGGCUCACCAAGGCCGUGAUGCAUAGCCGACCUGAAAGGGUGAUCGGCCACAUUGGGACUGAGACACGGCCCAAACUCCUACGGGAGGCAGCAGUAGGGAAUCUUCCGCAAUGGACGCAAGUCUGACGGAGCAACGCCGCGUGAGUGAAGAAGGUUUUCGGAUCGUAAAACUCUGUUGUUAGAGAAGAACAAGUGCUAGAGUAACUGUUAGCGCCUUGACGGUAUCUAACCAGAAAGCCACGGCUAACUACGUGCCAGCAGCCGCGGUAAUACGUAGGUGGCAAGCGUUGUCCGGAUUUAUUGGGCGUAAAGCGAGCGCAGGCGGUUCCUUAAGUCUGAUGUGAAAGCCCCCGGCUCAACCGGGGAGGGUCAUUGGAAACUGGGGAACUUGAGUGCAGAAGAGGAGAGUGGAAUUCCAUGUGUAGCGGUGAAAUGCGUAGAUAUAUGGAGGAACACCAGUGGCGAAGGCGACUCUCUGGUCUGUAACUGACGCUGAGGCUCGAAAGCGUGGGUAGCAAACAGG